rnacentral:rRNA from 1 species
AUCAACUUUCGAUGGUAGGAUAGAGGCCUACCAUGGUGGUAACGGGUAACGGGGUGUUAGGGCACGACACCGGAGAGGGAGCCUGAGAAACGGCUACCACAUCCAAGGAUGGCAGCAGGCGCGCAAAUUACCCAAUCCCGACACGGGGAGGUAGUGACAAUAAAUAACAAUACGGGGUUCUAUAGGAUUUCGUAAUUGGAAUGAGUACAAUUUAAAUCUCUUAACGAUCAACAAUUGGAGGGCAAGUCUGGUGCCAGCAGCCGCGGUAAUUCCAGCUCCAAUAGCGUAUAUUAAAGUUGUUGCAGUUAAAAAGCUCGUAGUUGAAUUUCGGGGUUAGUAGGUUGGUCAUGCCUCUGGUAUGUACUGAUCUCACUGAUUCCUCCCUCUUGACGAACUGUAAUGUCAUUAAUUUGGUGUUGCAGGAAAUCAGGACUGUUACUUUGAAAAAAUUAGAGUGUUUAAAGCAGGCUUAGGCUUGAAUACAUUAGCAUGGAAUAAUGAAAUAGGACGUUUGAACCUAUUUUGUUGGUUUCUAGGAUCGACGUAAUGAUUAAUAGGGAUAGUUGGGGGCAUUAGUAUUCAAUUGUCAGAGGUGAAAUUCUUGGAUUUAUUGAAGACUAACUACUGCGAAAGCAUUUGCCAAGGAUGUUUUCAUUAAUCAAGAACGAAAGUUAGGGGAUCGAAGACGAUCAGAUACCGUCGUAGUCUUAACCAUAAACUAUGCCGACUAGGGAUCGGAUGAUGUUAAUUUUUUAAUGACUCAUUCGGCGCCUUACGGGAAACCAAAGUGUUUGGGUU